GCGCGCUUUGGUCGGGGACGACUUCGGCGCCGGCGGCGCGGAAGGCCUCGCACAGUGCCGGGCCCAUGAACGCGUC
rnacentral:tRNA from 1 species